CCUACGGGUGGCAGCAGUGGGGAAUAUUGCGCAAUGGGCGAAAGCCUGACGCAGCGACGCCGCGUGAGGGAUGAAGGUCUUCGGAUCGUAAACCUCUGUCAGCAGGGAAGAACGGUCACUGUGCUAAUCAGCAGUGAAUUGACGGUACCUGCAAAGGAAGCCCCGGCUAACUCCGUGCCAGCAGCCGAGGUAAUACGGAGGGUGGGAGCGUUAAUCGGAAUUACUGGGCGUAAAGCGCUCGUAGGCGGUAUGUCAAGUCAAGGGUGAAAUCCCCGCGCGUCAAGUGGGAAGUGCCUUUGAAACUGGCAAAAUGGAGUGUGUGAGAGGAUAGUGGAAGGCCAGGUGUAGGAGUGAAAUCCGUAGAUAGCAGGAGGAACAUCAGGGGCGAAGGCGACUAUCUGGCACAUAACUGACGCUGAGGAGCGAAAGCGUGGGUAGCAAACAGGAUUAGAUACCCUGGUAGUC
rnacentral:rRNA from 1 species